UCCAAAUUUGUCAUUAUUGCAAAAACAAGGUUCAGAUUUUUUGGAACUGAGACAAGCAAAAUGCUAACGCUUGUGAAUUGACGUGCAUAGCUAAUGUUGACUUUGGGCCGCUUCAGUUAAAAGACAGGGGACGCUAACAUCGUAAUGAGGUUUGCAUACAAGAUCUUUUGAGGCAUUGGACAUUUAGAAGGGGGGGGCGGGGGGGGGGUUCUGGUGGUGGUUUCUCCACCCUGCCGAGGCUCCACCAUCCCACGUCCGCUAUGACAAUGAGAGAGAGAGAAAAAGAGAGAGAGAGAGAGAGAGAGAGAGAAAUACAAUAUGGCCUUUUUUUUUCUCUUU